UACGAGGGGUGCAAGCGUUAUUCGGAAUUAUUGGGCGUACAGGGUGCGUAGACGGUAUGUUAAGUCAACUGUUAAAUUCCCCGGCUUAACCGGGGGCCAGCAGUAGAUACUGAUGUGCUAGAGGAUGGAAGAGAGAAGUGGAAUUCUCGGAGUAGCGGUAAAAUGCGUAGAUCUCGAGAGGAACACCGAUGGCGAAGGCAGCUUCUUGGUCCAUAUCUGACGUUGAGGCACGAAAGCGUGGGGAGCAAACAGG
rnacentral:rRNA from 1 species